rnacentral:rRNA from 1 species
UUCUUUGAGCAGGGAAGAAGCGAAAGUGACGGUACCUGCAGAAGAAGCGCCGGCGAACUACGUGCCAGCAGCCGCGGUAAUACGUAGGGGCCAAGCGUUGCCCGGAAUUAUUGGGCGUAAAGAGCUGGUAGGCGGCUUGUCACGUAGGAUGUGAAAGCCCGGGGCUUAACCCCGGGUGUGCAUUCGAUACGGGCUAGCUAGAGUGUGGUAGGGGAGAUCGGAAUUCCUGGUGUAGCGGUGAAAUGCGCAGAUAUCAGGAGGAACACCGGUGGCGAAGGCGGAUCUCUGGGCCAUUACUGACGCUGAGGAGCGAAAGCGUGGGGAGCGAACAGGAUUAGAUACCCUGGUAGUCCACGCCGUAAACGUUGGGAACUAGGUGUUGGCGACAUUCCACGUCGUCGGUGCCGCAGCUAACGCAUUAAGUUCCCCGCCUGGGGAGUACGGCCGCAAGGCUAAAACUCAAAGGAAUUGACGGGGGCCCGCACAAGCAGCGGAGCAUGUGGCUUAAUUCGACGCAACGCGAAGAACCUUACCAAGGCUUGA